CUGAAAAGUAGCUAGGGAUUCCAACUAGGUGAGAAGGAGAGUGGGGCAGAGCCAGACCAGACAAGGACUGAUCACCUGGAAAAAGCCUGCCAUCAAAGGUCUUGGCAAAUGCUGGGUGCAGUGGCUCACUCCUGUAAUCCCAGCACUUUGCGGGGCUGAGACAGGUGGACUACUUGAGGCAAGGAGUUCGAGUCCAGCUUGGGCAACAUGGCAAAACCCCAUCUCUACUAGAAAUACAAAAAUUAGCUAGGCAUGCUACACUCCUGUAAUCCCAGCUACUCAGGAGACUGAGGCAGGAGAAUCACUUGAACUGGGGAGGCAGAGGUCGAAGUGAGCUGAGAUUGUGCCCCUGCACUCCAGUCUGGGAGACAGAGUGAAACUGGCCUCAAAAAAAAAAAAAAAAAAGAAUAUGGCCUUGGCAGAGAGGGGCCAGCCCAGCAGUGCCUUCCCUUGGGUUUCUCCUGGGUAGGCCUCCGCCAUGAGGAGGUGCUUCCUUCUGCCUGUCCAUGGCCCACAGCAAUGUAAUGUCUGCUUCUGGGGGUUGGGUGGGAGACUGCUGGCAGAACUGGAAACCUUCAGGUGGGGUUUUUUUGUUUUGUUUUGUUUUCGAGAUGGAGCGUCUCUCUGUCACCCAGGCUGGAGUGCAGUGGUGGAAUCUCAGUUCACUGCAACCUCCGCCCCACUGGGUUCAAACAAUUCUCCUGUCUCAGCCUCCUGAGUAGCUGAGAUUACAGGCAUGUGCCACCAUGCCUGGCUAGUUUUUUAUUUUUUGUAUAGAUGGCAUUUCACCAUGUUGGCUGGGCUGGUCUCGAGCUCCUGACCUCAAGUGAUCCACCCACCUCGGCCUCCCAAAGUGCUGGGAUUACAGGCAUGAGCCACUGAGCCCAGCCCCUUCAGGGGGGUUUUGAGGCUUCACUACAAUACUAGUUUCCUGUGGCUGCUGCAACAAAUUACCACACACUUAGUGACUUAAAACAACGAAAAUGUAUUCCCUUACAGGUCUGAAGGCCAGAAUUCUACAGUAAGUCCUACUGAGUCAAGGUGGGAGCAGGGUCGGUGGCUUCCGAGGCUCUGCGGGAGAAUCCGUUUCCUGGCCGUAGAGGUGGCCUGCACUCCUCAGCUUGUGCUGCCCGUCUCGAAUUACUGGAGUUUCCUGCUUCUGUCACUACACCUCCCACCCUCUCCCAUCACCUGCUCUGCUCUUACAAGGAUCCGAAGAAGUGGAAUAAUCGUAUCGCUGAUCUAUGUAAACAAAUUGAAGAAUUGUCUGAAAGAAAAUAUGGUAUGUCUAAACUGGAAAAGUCCUGUAAUCUUAUGUUCAUGGGUGUUUACACAAUGGAGUUACUCUUCAUCAUGGGGGUACCGUGGACAAGCCCAGGGCUGCCGGCGAGUCAUGCCAUCCUUACACGUUUCUCCUUGUAAGGUGCUUUGUAGUGUCUACACACUUUGUUUCUAGAUUGCUGCAAAGCUGAGGAAAAGUUGUAUUUCUUUAGUUAUUAGUUAGCAUUUCUUUUAAACUUUCAGUAUGGAGAUUGGAAAUUUAUUUACAUAUUUAUUGCAAAGCCCUGGAUCUUAGGGAUUUCAUUGAAUUAUUUAUUUAUUUUUUUUGAGACGGAGCCUCACUCUAUCGCCCAGGCUGGAGUGCAGUGGCACGAUCUCGGCUCACUGCAACCUCCGCCUCCCGGGUUCAAGCAGUUCUCUGCCUCAGCCUCCUGAGCAGCUAGGAUUACAGGCACCAGCCACCACGCCUGGCUGAUUUUUGUAUUUUUAGUAGAGACGGGGUUUCAUGAUCUUGGCUAGGCUGGUCUUGAACUGCUGACCUCCUGAUCCACUCACCUCAGCCUCCCAAAGUGCUGGGAUUACAGGUGUGAGCCGCCACGCCUGGCCAAAUAUUAUUUUUUUAAAUGAAUUGUUUCUCUUAGUCUGCUUUGUUAAAUUUGGAAUUCAUCUGGGUGCGGUGGCUCACACCUGUAAUCCCAGCACUUUGGGAGGCCAAGGCAGGCAGAUAUCUAGGUCGGGAGUUCGAGACCAGCCUGACCAACAUGGAGAAACCCCGUCUCUACUAAAAAUACAAAAUUAGACGGGUGUGGUGGCACAUGUCUGUAAUCCCAGCUAUUCGGGAGGCCAAGGCAGGAGAAUCGCUUGAACCCAGGAGGCAGAGGUUGUGGUGAGCCGAGGUUGCACCAUUGCACUCUAGCCUGGGCAAAAAGAGCAAAACUCCAUCUCAAAAUAAAUAAAUAAAUAAAAUGUUCAGUACUCACCAAGGUGCCCCUAUUGUCUCUACUUUUAUCUUGAUGCAUCACUGAAUUGAUGUUAGAUUUCAAAUUCAUCAUUGUCCUUACACUAUUCUAUCCUGAAGCCACCUUUAUAUAGUGAUGAAAGAAAUUAGUGAUUUGUUAUUAUCCUCUCUCUGUUGGUAUACAUCAAAUGCUCACCUAAAAAGAGCAACAACCAGUGGAAAACACAUGAUGUUUUUAUUUGGGUGACUAUUUACUUGUAACCUACUAGCAAACUAUAAAAUUGUAUGAUAUGCAGAAUUUUAACUGAAUUGCUUUAAGUGAACAUUUAA
ensembl:lincRNA